rnacentral:rRNA from 1 species
UACAGAGGUCUCAAGCGUUGUUCGGAUUCAUUGGGCGUAAAGGGUGCGUAGGCGGCGCGGUAAGUCGGGUGUGAAAUCUCGGAGCUUAACUCCGAAACUGCAUUCGAUACUGCCGUGCUUGAGGACUGGAGAGGAGACUGGAAUUCCAGGUGUAGCGGUGAAAUGCGUAGAUAUCCGGAGGAACACCGGUGGCGAAGGCGACGUCCUGGACCGGCAUUGACGCUGAGGCGCGAAAGCCAGGGGAGCAAACGGG